AGUGAACGCUGGCGGUAGGCCUAACACAUGCAAGUCGAACGGCAGCACAGUAAGAGCUUGCUCUUACGGGUGGCGAGUGGCGGACGGGUGAGGAAUACAUCGGAAUCUACUUUUUCGUGGGGGAUAACGUAGGGAAACUUACGCUAAUACCGCAUACGACCUACGGGUGAAAGCAGGGGAUCUUCGGACCUUGCGCGAUUGAAUGAGCCGAUGUCGGAUUAGCUAGUUGGCGGGGUAAAGGCCCACCAAGGCGACGAUCCGUAGCUGGUCUGAGAGGAUGAUCAGCCACACUGGAACGGAGACACGGUCCAGACUCCUACGGGAGGCAGCAGUGGGGAAUAUUGGACAAUGGGCGCAAGCCUGAUCCAGCUAUACCGCGUGGGUGAAGAAGGCCUUCGGGUUGUAAAGCCCUUUUGUUGGGAAAGAAAAGCAGCAGGUUAAUACCCCGCUGUUCUGACGGUACCCAAAGAAUAAGCACCGGCUAACUUCGU
rnacentral:rRNA from 1 species